GCUCUUCCUAUCUCCCCAAGAUGCGGCGUAGAACGUACAGGGCUCAUGGUCGAAUUAACCCAUACAUGAGCUCUCCCUGCCACACUGAGAUGAUCCUUACUGAAAAAGAGCAGAUUGUUCCUAAACCAGAAGAGGAGGUUGCACAGAAGGAAAAGAUAUCCCAGAGGAAACUGAAGAAACAAAAACCUAUGGCCCAGGAGUAAAUUCUGCAGAAUAAAUGCAAAAAAAAA